GUGAGGAGGAUUUCCUUGAGGAGGGUUUGGAUCGACGGCAAGCUUAGCCGUACUUUAUCACAGUACUGUGGACCGGCAUAGGAGCGGAGGCUAGUACCACCUUUGUCAUCCAUUCUCAGUAGGUUAUUGAUUAACCUACUUAUUGUAUUAUAUUCCGAGUCUGUUCCUUAGAUUGCUCUGAAUACUUGUUGAGAGUGGAUUUAUACAUUUGUAUAAUUAUGUGUGUAAGAGAGUGGUUUAUUUUGGGAGAUUUUCGAUGUUUUUUAUUUGGAGAAUUUUUGGAUUGUUGCUAG
rnacentral:lncRNA from 1 species